AGAUCUUUUGACCAAGGAUUGCAACUCAUCAUAAAUUUGUUUUUUUCCUCAUCAAAUGAUUAUGGUCUGGUUUCAACAACAAUUACUGUGGAUGAAUUGUUAGCCAAAGACGCUUCGAGCUACCUGAUCAGAAGUCUGCUUGAUGUCCAGUACCUACAUCACCAUGUUGCUUUUAAUUCUGGCAUUGGCUUGACACCAACCCCACUGCUGGCGUUCGCUGCAGCAAGUGGCAGCAGGGAACUUUGUCUAGGAGCUGAGAUUGGAUUUAAUAGUGCGUCUACUUCUUUCACCAAAUACAAUGCCGGUGUAGGCUUUAGUAAGUCUGUUUUUUCUGCUGCUCUUAUAAUGUAAGUGCACACUCUCUAAUUAUUAUUAUUGUCAUUAUUAUUAUUAUUAUUAAAUAUCAUUAUUUCUGUAGAAA